UUGUUCUGACCUUGCAUAUGUUAGCUUCCAUUUAAUUAGUUUAUUUUAAGAUUUUAACAAUCAUCCCUGAGAGUAAUUCCCAUUCUUCUAAAAUACAGCAGCACUGCAAAAAUUCAUCAUAUACUAUAAAAUCUAACAAUACAGAUUACCUCUGAGCAAAAGGCACCUGAAUGAAGUGCAGAUGGUGUCUUCAAAGAGCAUUUUUUGUCUUGUGACUGCAAUAAAACCAGGUCAGAUGCUGUCACAAGUUGCAUCACUUGAGACGCCAAGAACACAGAACAAUAAACAUGAAGAUCCUGUUGAAGUGCGGUUCUGUCAAGGAGAAAAAAAGCUACAAUCAAUACUUCUAUUCAAAAAAAGAGACGCCUUGGAGAGCACCAAUCCUCCAUCCUUCGAAUUCAGCCAGUGGCUGUAAAGUGCUGCCCAAGGUGACACUACUGAACCUCAGCGUGGGGACACUGCCAACUGGGACAUACUGAACUAGUGUAACCAUGGUUCUGUCAUCUCCUGGUCCUUCUGCCAGCUUCUAAGUCUCCUAGCAGCAUGAUACAUUGGGAAUGACAGGUCUGCUGCCCUCCUUCCCCUCUGACCGCUCAUCAUCCAGUGCUUGCUACACGAACAGUGUCUGGAUGAUGCCCACAGCUUGAACUGCUGCUUCUCCUCUGGCCAAGCCCUCUGCACAGGUAGUGUCACAGCUGCUUCUUUCAGAAAAGUAGCUGUUUGGAGCAGUGCAGAGCUUUCCUAUGGCAGCAUGGAUGUGCACUGAGUGCAAGAAGUGCUCUGAUGUGAGGCUGAGAUGGUGUGGAAGCAAGUGUGCCUUUCCCCAGGCCAGGACUCACCCUGAUGCAGUCCCAAACUGGCUGCAUAUAAUGACAUCAAUUGGUUUGGUUGUUCAAGAGCAUUUUCUCAACAUGCAUUCACGUCAACGUUGUGAAAAUCCAGGGAUUCUGCUCUGCCACCAGUAGCUCAUGCACACAAUCCAACUUACUGAGAUGUUUCCUGCUAAAAGCUUCUUCACAGGUGCAAAAGCAAGCUUUAUUCAAACCUGCUGUCUGGAGAGGAUGUCAAAUUCUAGUGCAUCUGUCAAAUCCCUCACUGAAAGCCUGAACUACACGUAUAUGCAUUUAUGAGCUUCUAUCUGUGCCAUGUGUAGCUGACAUGGACUUAGUUUGACCUGCAAGUGGCAGUAUAUGGCUUAAAAUGCUGUCUUCUUCCUCUCAUCCAGCUUGAGGACGUACAAAGGCAAGGAUAAUCAGAGGGCUGCCUGAAUCCUGCUACCAGGGUCUUACUUACACAACAAUCUUCUUUUCUGAAUGGUGCCACACAGCUUCCUAUUAUUCCUAAUGCUGUUCAAGCACAGGGAGAGACUUUCAAUCACUUUCUUUCCUCAAGAAAUUUUAAAGCUGCUUUGCAUAGCGGUCAGAAGACUUCCUUCCCUGCAUAUAUUUACUUCCUUUUACCCAUGUAGACUUCAAAAUAGCAUGAUAUAGCUUACUCCUAUACAGUACUUGAAUGUCAGCAUAAAUAUAUAUUAAGAAAUAAGUGUAUUCAGGCAACAAAACAAACAAUUUGCACACGUGAUAUCCUUUGGAAAGCUGAUGUUAAAACUGUGUUUUGUUUUAUUUUGUUUUGUUUUGUUUUCAGAGAGGAAAAUAAACUUUUUGCAUUACUGUUA